GUUCCGAGCUCGCGAAUCAAAACCUCUCAAAGAACCGGUGCCAACAAGUGGAAAUUGACCAGAUCUCGCACCGCCAAGCUCCGAUGGACAACUCGAAGCAACACCAGAAACUCCAGCCAACACAAAACCAAUGUACACACAGUUGCUUCCAAUUGAAGCUAUUGGAAUUAAGUUCGAAUUAUACUCUUUAUUCAUUAUUUUGUAUAUAUUGACAUUAGAUAGCUUUAGGUCGUUUUUUAUAAUAUCUUAUUUAUUACUUUUGUAUAUUACAUGUUUAUUAUACUCGUACAUUAUUUUAUUUUGUUCAUCAAUUUGAAAAAAAUGAAUUCAGACGGGAUCCAUAUUUGUGGAUUCUAAGGAUGUCGAA